GCCACGACAAGAUCGCUUCCAUCGCAGAGGUGGACUUCGAGGGAGUCAAGGAGCUCGAUUUUUCCCUGCCACCCUCGCUGCAGUGGUGGCCACCGCUCAAGAUGGGGUGCCUCAGCGUAACUCGGUGGCGGCGUCUCCAUGCAGCCAAGGAGUCCAUGGGUGAUAUAUGGCUGUGUGUGCAAUUUCUUUCUGGGCAUGAUGAAUCUUACAUGGUAUUAGGUGUGCAGAUGUUAUAGCAUUCAAGCCUCUCAACAUUCACUCCUGGAGGUACAUCACCUAAUUCCCCAAUUUUUACUUGAUUGUAUCACUUUUUCU